CCCUUAGAUGUUCUGGGCCGCACGCGCGCUACACUGACGAAUGCAACGAGCUUAUAACCUUGGCCGAAAGGUCUGGGUAAUCUCCAAAUUUCGUCGUGAUGGGGAUAGAUUAUUGCAAUUAUUAAUCUUCAACGAGGAAUGCCUAGUAAGCGCAAGUCAUCAGCUUGCGUUGAUUACGUCCCUGCCCUUUGUACACACCGCCCGUCGCUCCUACCGAUUGAAUGGUCCGGUGAAGCGCUCGGACCGCGGCCUCUUGACGGUUCGCUGUCGAUUGGCUGUGGGAAGUUCGUUAAACCUUAUCAUUUAGAGGAAGGAAAAGUCGUAACA
rnacentral:rRNA from 1 species